GCAGACGGCCUAUGGUGGGACUUCACCUUGUGAUCGUCUACCUUGAUGCUGAACAUCCCCUGAAGCAACAGGACUGCAUGAGCUUGGUGUGGCUGAGCCCAUGUCCUAAUGAACAUCCAGAAAAGAAAGACACUCAGAAAGCCAGGAAAAUGGAAGAAUUUUUUUUUUCAGCCAGCCAGGCACCUGACAGUAAUCAAAAUCUGUAAAGAACAGGAUGUGGAGCCUCCUCUGCUUGUUCAGCACGAACAUUUUGUGGUGGGUGCUGCAAAGAUGACUCAGACACAGUCUCCACCCCAGGUCACUCAUAGUCUAGUGCAGUACACCAAAGCUGUGAAAGCUAAAGGGCAGACCAUUGGCCCAUCCAGGGAGAGUGGUAGAAGAGGGAGCAUUUAUUUGAAUAGCUGUGAUGCUACCAGUCUGAAAAAAGGGGAAGGUAUCUUGAGAAUAAGAAGCAAGUUUUCAAAACACAGAGGCAGAAUGGAUAGAAUGGGGUGAACACAGUAAGGUGCAGAGUGUGUGAUGAGCGUACUUGUCAGGUCUCAGAUGAAAGUGACCAAGACCUAGCUCCACUGUGAUGAAGCCUGUAAAGAAAGACAUACAUGAACACACAAAUAAGGCAAUGCAUUUUCUUACGCAGCUGAAAGGUACAAGAGAGGACCAGGUUAUCAAAAAUGUCUUCAGGGUGUACCCAAAGCAACCAAUGGAACAAAGAAUUGGACAAAACGCACAAACAAAGCAAGAAGGAAUGAAGGGUUUUAUUGAAAAUGAAAGUACACUCCACAGUGUGGGAGUGGGCCUGAGCAGAGGGGCUCAAAGGCCCCAUUGUAGAAUUUUGGGGAGUUUAAAUAUCCCCAAGAACCUGAACAACCUCUGCCGUUAACAUAUUUUGGUGACCCGGGAAGGAGGAAGAGGCCUGAAAGAUAAGACAAAGAGGUUCCUACAACCUGGAGACCGAGAAGGCUGCCAGGCAGGAGCUGUGAUUGCAGCUGAAAGAUGCAGCCGGUCUUUAGCAACUCCACAUGGAGGAAGCCAGGAAAAUAAAUACUCCAAUCAAUCACAAUUUCUUUUUCUGCUAUGUCUUGCCCAUGCUCUGAAUUUUUCAAAAUCGACUGGAAGCUAGAAAGCAAAGGAGAACUUUGGUGAGUCUACUCUGAAUAUGGGACACAGAGCAAUGGGGAGAAAGGUUAUCAGGAGACACCCAGUUCAGGCACCUACCUCUUCCACAAUAACAACUUCUGUUUCACUCAGCAUUACUUUGUGCCCAGCUGAGAAAGGACUGCAUUCUCCAUUCUCUUACAUUUGCGUGACUGUGAUGUGGAACUGGAACUAACAAAAAGGAAGAACAUCAGAGGAGGUGCAAGAAGCAAGAGAGGGAAAGCACCGUGGUGGAACAGUGGCUGAUAGUUUUCUGGUAGAGUGCUAGAAAAACAUUUAAUAAUGAGCAUGUUCCAUAUCCAGUGAUUUUAUUUAUUUUUUUAUUUUGAUAGUUAAGUAUUUAAGUGUUCCCUUUGUGCCAGGGAAUGUAUUAUGGACCAGAGAGUAAUGAAAUAAAGAUGCCAUUUCACUUCCUGCA